rnacentral:rRNA from 1 species
UACGGAGGAUGCGAGCGUUAUCCGGAUUUAUUGGGUUUAAAGGGUGCGUGGGCGGUCCGUUAAGUCAGCGGUAAAAUUGCGGGGCUCAACCCCGUCGAGCCGUUGAAACUGUCAGACUUGAGUUGGCGAGAAGUACGCGGAAUGCGCGGUGUAGCGGUGAAAUGCAUAGAUAUCGCGCAGAACUCCGAUUGCGAAGGCAGCGUACCGGCGCCACACUGACGCUGAGGCACGAAAGCGUGGGGAUCGAACAGG